UCAUGCAAAUGGUUAUUAUGGUGCCUGGCCAGGGCGGGCAGUUUCAGUCAGUGUGCUUCCCCUAACAGAAGAAUUGGGGGAGGAGCUGUAGGAGGGAGAGUAUUUAAAAUGAGAAGAGGAGGACAGUCCUUUCAUCUGUAAUUUGGAAAGCUGAGAGGGCUUGAUUUGGUUAAACAUGUUUGAAUACGCUUCAGAAUUUCUCCUUGAGCUUUAGGAGUUUGUCUGAACGGGUAACAGGAAAAUAUAGGAUAAGUAGACUGGAAGGCGGAGAAGGCAAUGGCACCCCACUCCAGUACUCUUGCCUGGAAAAUUCCAUGGAGGGAGGAGCCUGGUAGGCUGCAGUCCAUGGGGUUGCUAAGAGUCGGACUCGACUGAGCGACUUCACUUUCACUUUUCACUUUCAUGCAUUGGAGAAGGAAAUGGCAACCCACUCCAUAUUCUUGCCUGGAGAAUCCCAGGGAUGGGGGAGCCUGGUGGGCUGCCGUCUAUGGGGUUGCAAAGAGUUGGACACGACUGAAGUGACUUAGCAGCAGCAGCAGACUGGAAGGACCAUGCCUCCGCCAGAUUUUGCUGAGGGGUCUGCAUCCUGUCCAGAUACUUCCCCUUCGGGUGGAGAGCGGAGCCCGCCCCGAUCUAGGAGCUACACCAGCCAGGCCAUCUGCUUCCAGGGCACCUUCACAAGAAAACGAAGAAUGGAGGAAACAGCCCUACUCUGGCCACUCCUAUCUGACAUAAAUAUUAAAUAGAGAUUUCUUAAUGUGAAAAUAUGAAUGAUACAAUUUUAAUUCUUUAAAAGAUUCCUAUACUUAGUUCUGUGUCUUCCCAGGGGCUUCUUUCUGGCUGUGCAAUAAAAGGUAUUUGGGGAUUUACUUUCUGAGACUAAAUCACAACUGGCGGUUUUAGCAAGGAUGCUUAGUUUAUGAAUUCAUGCCUGUAAUUGGAGCAUUAUAAUGAAAAAACAGUCCUGUCACCCUCAAAACCCACAUAGCCUGUGUCCAUGCUGUCCAUACAGCCAUAUCCAUCCAUGCCCAUGUCCACAGAGCAUUCAUGGAGUAGGGCAGAGAUGGAUUGUUGCCUGUCCUGACUGCUCAGUUACCUAUUUAGAAUUUACAUUUCUUUUUUUUAAAAAGUAAUUUUGUUUAUGUAUUUGGCUGUGCUGUCUUCGUUGCUGAGUGGGCUUUUCUCUGGUUGCAAUGCACAAGCUUCUCAUUGUGGUGAUUUCUCUUAUUGUGGAAGAUAGGUUCUAGGUACAUGGGCUUCAACAGUUGAGGCAAGAGGGCUCAGUACUUGCGGCUCCCCAGGCUCUAAAGCACAGGCUUAAUAGUUGUGGCAACCGUGCUUAGCUGCUCUGAGGCAUGUUGGAUCUUCCCGGAUCAGGGAUUGAACCUGCGACUCCUGCAUUGGCAGGUGGAUUCUUUACCACUGAGCCACCAAGGAAGCCCUAAUUUGCAUCUCUUUGACUCUUAAGACACACAAAUGUCUUCAUCUAAUUCAAAUACCUUUGAACUUGAUGUAAACCUGCAUUCUUUUCAUAAAGAUUUAUGAGUAUUACAGUGUUAAACAGAAGUGUAAUAAGGUGUAUUCAUCUUGAAAGGGAAAAUGUGAGCUGCUCAGUUGUGUCUGAUUCUUUGCAACCCCAUGGACUGUAGCCCAUUAGGCUCUUCUGUCCAUGGGAUUCUCCAGGCAAAAAUACUGGAGUUGGUUGCCAUGUCCUUCUCCAGGGAUCUUCCCAACCCAGGGAUUGAACCUGGGUCUCCCACAUUGCAGGCAGAUUCUUUACCCUCUGAGCCACCAGAGGAGCCCCAUUUAUCUUGAAG
ensembl:lncRNA